rnacentral:sRNA from 1 species
UUGCAAUAGGGAUAGCAGCGACAUCCCCCCAACUUGAUUGGGGGAUAUAGCGAAUAGCCCGACGCUUC